rnacentral:rRNA from 1 species
UACGUAGGGAGCAAGCGUUGUCCGGAAUUACUGGGUGUAAAGGGAGCGUAGGCGGGAUGGCAAGUUGGGUGUUAAAUCUACCGGCUCAACUGGUAGUCGCACUCAAGACUGCUAUUCUUGAGUGAAGUAGAGGCAGGCGGAAUUCCUAGUGUAGCGGUGAAAUGCGUAGAUAUUAGGAGGAACACCAGUGGCGAAGGCGGCCUGCUGGGCUUUUACUGACGCUGAGGCUCGAAAGUGUGGGGAGCAAACAGG